rnacentral:tRNA from 1 species
AUAGUUUAAUUGGUUAAAACUUUAAUUUCAUGCACUAAAAAUGGGAAUUCGAUUUUCCCU